GAGACCUCAGCUCAGGCGGGGCUACCCGCUGAGUUUAAGCAUAUCAAUAAGCGGAGGAAAAGAAACUAACAAGGAUUCCCCUA
rnacentral:rRNA from 1 species